rnacentral:lncRNA from 1 species
CGACGAUCGAAAAGGUGGGUUGAAAUAUCCGAAUCCCGACGCCGAAAGCCCCGCGCCACCACCUUUGUUCCUCGCUAGGGGUCUCGGGAUCGACCGGGUCGGAUCCGGGUUACUGACUGCGGGCUGUGGUGAUGGUGGCAUCGGCGGCGGCCGCAGUGGUAAGUGGGAUGUUUUGACGGGCAACGGCGGAGAGCAGUCGGAUGUGGAGACGUACUACAAGAAGAUGGUGGAGGAGAACCCCAGCAAUGCUCUGUUCCUGAGGAAUUAUGCGCAGUAUCUCUACCAGGUAUCGUUGCUGCUGCUUCGCAUCGGCUUUGUAUGAAAGAGAAGCAUUCUUUGCCUCGAAUGAUUUCACCGUAUCUGAAUUAUCCGUCGAUUGCUAUACUAAAUUCUUUCGUAUUGUAGGC